UACGUAGGGUGCAAGCGUUAAUCGGAAUUACUGGGCGUAAAGCGUGCGCAGGCGGUUGUGCAAGACCGAUGUGAAAUCCCCGGGCUCAACCUGGGAAUGGCAUUGGUGACUGCACGGCUAGAGUGUGUCAGAGGGGGGGUAGAAUUCCACGUGUAGCAGUGAAAUGCGUAGAGAUGUGGAGGAAUACCGAUGGCGAAGGCAGCCCCCCUGGGAUAACACUGACGCUCAUGCACGAAAGCGUGGGGAGCAAACAGG
rnacentral:rRNA from 1 species